rnacentral:tRNA from 1 species
GCCCGGAUGGCGGAAUCGGUAGACGCAGCAGACUUAAAAUCUGCCGAUCGAAAGAUCGUACGGGUUCGAGUCCCGUUCUGGGCACCA